rnacentral:rRNA from 1 species
AGCGAACGCUGGCGGCGUGCUUAACACAUGCAAGUCGAACGAGUGUAGCAAUACAUUCGUGGCGAACGGGUGCGUAACACGUGGAUAACCUUCCUUCGGGUGGGGAAUAACCCAGUGAAAAUUGGGCUAAUACCGCAUGACAUUCCGGAGUCUUCGGUUUCUGGACUCAAAGGCCGCAAGAUCGUCUGAGGAGGAGCCCG